rnacentral:lncRNA from 1 species
GUUCUGAACUUCAAAAGCUUUUCUCCAUCUUACGCCUUUCUAAAUAAAACAAAGGGCUUGUACAAUACCAGAUUCUAAAACUUUAGUGUGCAAUUCAAGCUAACGCUGAAUACAAGAAUAAAUCACGAAUCCUUUCUUGCGUCACUAUCUGAUAGCUCACAUUUAUAGUCUUUUUUUUUUAAGGAACACAACACUUUACCAAUUCUUUCAUUGGAUCUAUAAAACUCACGUCCCCACCUCCAAAGUUCAGAGACCAAACAUCCACUACACCGAAAGAGAUUAAUAAUUUAGAUGAACAAUCAUUUGCCGUCACAGACACCAUUCAUUCCUCUACUGUACUCCGAAGGCGUCCGCAGGGUCAUAAGGAGUCAGACUCUCUCCAAAACCAUCCCAGUCUCCUGGGGACUCGAUUCCUUCUUCGAGGUGGAUAGAAUUCACUGGCCUCUGGAUAGUAAGCCUUUUUUUUCUUUGCCACUCCACAUGCCUGGGUUUCGGGUAAUCUUCCCAGUUAAAAACGUUUAAAGGAAGCAAAGGUCGAAACGAGGAACAUGGGGAAACGACGAACACUGCAGGCGCGGACGACCUACCCAACCUCAGCUACCGACACUGGAGGGGAAGCCUCCUCCGGAGCCGGGAAAGAGGCGGCGGGCAUCAGGACCCCCACCCACUGGGACCUGCAAUACAGAAUAGAGAUGGGGCAGGCACUGAAGAACCCUGGAGUACUUCCCCAAGUUGGCAGGAAACCAGCUGCAAAACCUCAGGACAGUCACCAAACAACAGUUUCUUCAUCUAUAUAAACAAAGAUACAUACAUGAGGCCAUAGACCAUGUUUAUCCACCUUUUUGUGUGUUGCAAUGUCCUUAACUGAGAGCAUCCAAACAAACAAGAUCAGUGAAACUUAAAAUUUUAGUAACUGGACGAUGAGUACUGUAAGUGUUCUUUUAUUAUUCUCGGUAUCUUUGUGUGCAGUUACAUUGUCAUGAUAAAAUCUUUAAAAAGACAUCCAAAAAAUUUCUGCUUUAAAAUAGUAAAAUGUUCAGUUUCCUUCUGUCUCACUAAAGUGUCAGCUGCGGGGCUUAAUUUUUGGUGAAACUAAUCAUUGUUAAGGGUCAAGGACCAUUACUUGUAUGGGACCCUUCUAAGGUCCUGUAGGAUGCUUUAGCAACCUGUUCAUUAAUUUUUGCAAAAGAGACAGAAGUAACAUACAUCAGCUACAAUUGUCUGAGGGCAGUAUCUCUUUCUACUCUGACUUGCCCUCUGUCUUAAUUCUCUUUGUGUCAGGUGAUAUUAAGAGUGGCUGCAGUAAUUUUGGGUUCUAGCUAAGGUGAAGUUAAGUUUUAAUUCAAUUUGUUUGAAUUUAGUCAGAGGUUAUUUAUGUGAGUCACAAACACUUCUGUGUGUAGCGUCUUAUUGUUAGCCAUCCUGGUGGAAGAACACCUGCCAGGAAUACUUCACAGCAGCCCAUUGUGCAACUCUUCCCACAUUAUAACACAAACGUGUGGGGCCAAGAGGUUGUAGUGUUAUGUGAGCAUGUCCUAUGGCCCCUUUACCAGUAGUAUGUGUAGAGCCAGACGCUAAUCUCUAGAAAAUUAUUUCAAAUUUUAUAUUUCUUAUGGAAAAUAAACCUGGUAGAAAUUUCCCCAAAUGAAAAAAUCUAGAGUAUCAAGAACUUAAAAUUUUUGAUCAACAAUAUAAGAAGAAAGACUGAAGUACCUUUUUAUUUAACCUAUUAAAAUGUGAUAAAAACAAAAAAAUCACUGUCCUCAGAAAAAACAAUUAAAGAUCAUCCAGAACUGCCCCCCGCAAAAUGGUAGGGAAAAAAGUAUGAAAAUCUCAUUAAGCAAUAAAAUAAUGCUUAUAUUAUAUUAUUUUUCCACAUUUUCUCAUGUUUGUGAAUUUUUGUCGGCAACCUAAAAUUUAUCAUUUAUUGUGAUUUUUCUCAUUCUAAAGAAAUAUUUCACUUUCUUACUUAAAUUUGUAUUUAAAAUUUUGUGUUUUUUCUCAUGAACAAUCUGGAAAAGAUUGCAAAAGAUUGAUACUAAUUCUCAAAAUGUUUGAUAGAGUUCUCCAGUUGAAGCCACCUGGGUCUGGAGAUUUCUUUUCCCAGAGUAUUUUAAUGACAAGUUCAGUUUCUUAAAUGAUUAUAGGACUAUUCUGUUUCAUAUUGUUUGAGCUUUGGUAGUUUGUGGUUUUUGAGAAUUGGUCCAUUUGUCUAAGUUGUUGAAUUUAUAAGUGUUUGUGGAAUUCUCUUAUUAUUCUUCUAAUGGCUGUAAGAACUGUAAUGAUACCCUCUUUCAUAACUGAUAUUGAUGAUUUGUGUCUGUUCCAAUUUUGUGUGUGUUGGUGGGGUUUGCUGGUGACUGAACCCAGGGCCUUGUGGAUGCUAAGCAUGUGCUCUACCACCAAGCUUGCACCCCCAAGCCUUGAAACAAUUUUUCAUUCAUAAUACGAUAAACUGUCCUUCUCUUUUUUUUGUACAGGGGAUCGAACUCGGGACCUUGCACUUGUGAGGCAGGUGCCGGAACCACUGAGCUAAAUCCCCGGCCCAAUAAACUGUCCUUCUAAGCACUACCUAUUAAAGUUUUUCAGCUAAAGUAUUGAAUGUGAUAAAGUUAGCAGACAGAGAUGCUGUGAUUUUCCAUCUAAUAGCAGGAAAAAGAAAACACUCCAUCUGGAUAGAAGUUAAUAAUUCAUCAAAUCUAAUUCCUGGAUAUCUGGCUUUUAAAUAAAACUGAACAAUGAUAUUAUUUUGCUUGGCUUUUAAAAAUUGAAAAUGCUAUUUAUUCUUCUAGUCACUAAAGGAGCAGCACUAAUGUGGUUGGAAUAUCAAGUUGCUAAAGGUUUGUCUACAUUUUAUUUUAUAUUACCAAGGUGUAAUAUAUUUGUCCCUACUUUGUCACCAAAAUAAUACCCAACACCUACAACUUAAAGGUGGAGAGGUUUAUUUUGGCUCAUGUUUCAGUCCAGGGUUUGGUGGCUUCAAGGCAGGACAGCAUGACAGAGAGGUGUAGCCCAAGAAUAGCUGCUCACUUUGUGGCCCCAGGAAGCAGAGGGCAAUGAGAGGAGCCAGGAAGAGAGAUAUAACCUUCUGGGCCACACCCAAAGUGACUCGCCUCUUCUGACUGGACUCUGCUGCUAGCAAGUCAGCUAUAAGCCCCAUAAUCCAGUCAUCUUUCACAAUCCCCACCUAUGAGUGCAUGAGGCUUUGGAGGGCACUUUAGAUCUAAACCAUAACAUUCUUCCCCACCCUCCCAAAGAUUCAUGUGCACCCUUUAUGCAAAAUGCAUUUAGUUCAUCUCUAAUAGUUGCUAAAGUGCUAACAGUUUCAGCAUUUCUAAAAAGUCCAAGUCCAAAGUCUCCUCUGAGACUUAAGGCAAUCUCUUAGAUGUGAGCCUCUGCAAAAAUUAAAAAGAAGGUUAAGUGUUGUUGACAUACAAUGGCAAGGGUAAACAUUUCCAUUCUAAAAUGUAAAAAUAGGGGGAUAGAAACUGAUGGAACCAAAGCAUGACUGAAAUCCAGCAGAGCAAACAGUAAAUCCAGUAGCUCCAAGUCCAGCACCUGGGGCAAGUUGUUGCAACAAGUGAACUCCAAAGGACUUGAGUGGUCCCACCCCUAUGGCAUCCCUAGUGGUUGUAGCCCUCACGGCUUCUCCCCUGGGCUGGCUUUGCUCAUUCCUUGUGGCUUUCUUCACUAGACAUUCCAUGUUCCUGGCAUUUCCAACUUCCUGGAGUUUUUAAACUGCAUUUUUUGCUUCACUCUCACAGUUCCAUGCUCUGCCCUUUCAGGGGCACGCUAUCUGGCCUCCAAGGCCUUCUUCUGAAAUCUGGAUGGAAGCCUUCCUGACCCCACAACUCUUGCAUUCUUUGUGCCUGUAAAACCAGUGCCAUAUGGAUGACUCCAAGUACUGCUGCCAGCUCAAGUAGUAAUCAGGCUCCCUUGAAUCAUGGUUGUACAGGUUUCUGAGUGCCUGGAUGGCUGAGCAGUAUGAACCAAAUCCCAGGGAACCAAUUUCCUAGGUGGCUGUUGUCAAGCAGGGUGCCCUAGGGCCCCCUUGCCAUGGAUGGGGCUUUGCUUGUUCCUCACGUGCUCUCAAGCCCUCUUUCCUAUUGUCCUGCUGUAAAGUACUUGGCUUCUUUUUAGUGCUAAUCUUUUCAGCAAACAAGAUUUUCUCUGUUCCAUCUUUGUGAGAAAUUUUCUCCUGGCAAAACUGAAAACUUUCUUUUCUUUUCCCCUAGAAAGGAAAGAAGGGAAAGGAAAAAUUAAGGGAAAAAAGAAAAAAUGGAAAAGAUGUCUAUGUUCAUUUCAUUUUUGAGUCAUAAGUCUUUGUAAAUAGGGAGGGAUGGAGGGG